rnacentral:rRNA from 1 species
GUAAGGAAUAUUGGACAAUGGCCGCAAGGCUGAUCCAGCCAUCCAGCGUGCAGGAAGAAGGCCCUAUGGGUUGUAAACUGCUUUUAUCAGGGAAUAAACCUCUGGAUUCACUCCGGAGCUGAAGGUACCUGAAGAAUAAGCACCGGCUAACUCCGUGCCAGCAGCCGCGGUAAUACGGAGGGUGCGAGCGUUAUCCGGAAUUACUGGGUUUAAAGGGUGCGUAGGCGGCUUUGUAAGUCAGGAGUGAAAGUUUGCGGCUCAACCGUAAAAUUGCUUCUGAUACUGCAUGGCUAGAAUUAGGAUGAGGUCAGCGGAAUGUGGCAUGUAGCGGUGAAAUGCAUAGAUAUGCCAUAGAACACCAAUUGCGAAGGCAGCUGGCUAGACCUGGAUUGACGCUGAGGCACGAAAGCGUGGGGAGCGAACAGGAUUAGAAACCCGUGUAGUCC